UCAGCACCACAAAAUGCAGAAGCCAUUGGGAUACAAUAUGCUACUUUGUUCCACUAGAAUUUACCCAGUACUGCGGAAAUACAUCUAAUCCAUACACUGACGCAACAGUCACUGCUUUGUACAAAUCUGAAAGUUUUUGGGUUUUUUUUUUUUUUGUGUGUGCAUAUAUUUAGCAUUGAGCAGUAGAUUUCACAUCAGAAACUAUCCUUUCAUCUCUUUCAGAAAAUUACAUAUAAAGUGCUUGCAGUUCAUAUAUAAACACUGGUUAAAAGUUACUACAUAUCUAAGCCAAAGCUACUUUAAUAAUUUAGCUCAGAUAUUCUAUGAUCACACAAUGAGACCUUGAAGAAUUGUUUGCUUUCUUCCUACGUGCUGCAAACUUGCACUUAAUGUGUAAAUAAACAGAAAAGAAGAAAAUUCUGAUCCAGAGUCUGAGUCUUGACAGAGGUUCCCAGUGUGGCAUGGAACAAAAUCCUUUCAACUUUACCUGGGCUAGAUUGCAAUUCCUGGGAGACAAAGAAGACGACGAAGAACGGCUACUGCAUGCUGCCUCUGGGACUUCAGACGCCUCAGGAAGUGUCAAGUGAGCUCAGUAUCCGAAAUUAGACAGAGAUGGGCAAGGGGAGGAGAUCCGCAGUGCUGUCCAUCACCUUCUUCCUCUCUGACGAGGUCCUAAUAAGUACUCUGACAGGAUACGGCCAACAAAACACCUCUUAUAACAGCAACGGGAUUCUGUUCACAAAAAAUCAUUGCGUAAACACAAGAGGCGCACGAGACAGGUACGCAUAUCACAUUACUUUGUUGGACUGCCCUUAAGCAGCGCUCCGUUACAGCCACGGACGCCUCCAACAGGUCCUCGGCAAGCACCGGCCGAGGGGAAGCGUUGCCCACACACAACAACCUGAGGUGGGCACUUGGCAAAAACUCAGGCGCGCACACAAAGGCGGCGGGCCAACGGUUACAGCUCCACGCUCCCUCCGUCAGUGGGGAUAAACAAGUAAAAAAAAUAAAUAAAAAAUAAAAAAAAAAUAAAAAAAAAAAGGGAAGGGGAAAAA